GCUGCUUGUAGAACAGGGUCGUGGGGUGCAGCCGGCCCUCGGGGUCGCUGGCGUAGUCGGGGAUGGUGCCGGCCUCCGUCCAGCCGGCGGAGCGGUA
rnacentral:tRNA from 1 species